rnacentral:rRNA from 1 species
GACGAACGCUGGCGGCGUGCCUAAUACAUGCAAGUUGAGCGCUGAAGGUUGGUACUUGUACCAACUGGAUGAGCAGCGAACGGGUGAGUAACGCGUGGGGAAUCUGCCUUUGAGCGGGGGACAACAUCUGGAAACGAAUGCUACUACCGCAUAAAAACUUUAAACACAAGUUUUAAGUUUGAAAGAUGCAAUUGCAUCACUCAAAGAUGAUCCCGCGUUGUAUUAGCUAGUUGGUGAGGUAAAGGCUCACCAAGGCGAUGAUACAUAGCCGACCUGAGAGGGUGAUCGGCCACAUUGGGACUGAGACACGGCCCAAACUCCUACGGGAGGCAGCAGUAGGGAAUCUUCGGCAAUGGACGAAAGUCUGACCGAGCAACGCCGCGUGAGUGAAGAAGGUUUUCGGAUCGUAAAACUCUGUUGGUAGAGAAGAACGUUGGUGAGAGUGGAAAGCUCAUCAAGUGACGGUAACUACCCAGAAAGGGACGGCUAACUACGUG